rnacentral:rRNA from 1 species
ACUGGGCGUAAAGGGCACGCAGGCGGUGACUUAAGUGAGGUGUGAAAGCCCCGGGCUUAACCUGGGAAUUGCAUUUCAUACUGGGUCGCUAGAGUACUUUAGGGAGGGGUAGAAUUCCACGUGUAGCGGUGAAAUGCGUAGAGAUGUGGAGGAAUACCGAAGGCGAAGGCAGCCCCUUGGGAAUGUACUGACGCUCAUGUGCGAAAGCGUGGGGAGCAAACAGGAUUAGAUACCCUGGUAGUCCACGCUGUAAACGAUGUCGAUUUGGGGGUUGAACUUUAAGUUUGGCGCCCGUAGCUAACGUGAUAAAUCGACCGCCUGGGGAGUACGGCCGCAAGGUUAAAACUCAAAUGAAUUGACGGGGGCCCGCACAAGCGGUGGAGCAUGUGGUUUAAUUCGAUGCAACGCGAAGAACCUUACCUACUCUUGACAUCCAGAGAACAUUCCAGAGAUGGAUUGGUGCCUUCGGGAACUCUGAGACAGGUGCUGCAUGGCUGUCGUCAGCUCGUGUCGUGAG